AUUUAUAUAGGACCCACCAGAAAUUCGACCGUUGCCCACAACGUUCCGAAAUGGGCCACGUGUUCUUUUUAAAAAAUUCCAAUUUCCUUUUUAAAAACUUGCUCUUCUUAUCUCUUCAUUCUUCUUGCACUGACCGUUGGCUCUCCCGAUCCAUGAAUAAUACGCCCCUGCGUCUUCGAUCGAUUACCCAUUCUUGAAUCUCUGAAUUUCUCGUCUGAAUCAGCCUCCUUGAUCUCAAAUUCGACAAAAAUGGCGGCUUUGGCGCCGGGAAUUCUGCAGAAGCUUCUAGACGGGAUGAAAACAGGGGUCAAACCAACGGGCGAGCACCGGAGCUCUCUGUUGCAGGUCACCGAUAUCGUCCCAGUGGAUCUGGACGAGAAGAAUCUCUUGCCCAAACACGGCUUCUUCAUCAAAGUCUCUGAUUCUUCUCACUCCAUCUACGUCACGCUCCCUUCCGACCAAGACGAUGUCGUCCUCAGCAACAAGAUGCAGCUGGGUCAGUUCAUCUACGUCGACAGGCUCGAGCCAGGGUCCCCUGUUCCCGUCGUCAAAGGCGCCAAGCCGAUCCCCGGUCGGCACCCGUUGGUCGGAACGCCGGAGCCAUUGAUGGGUCUGAGGGGAAAGGCCGAGAGAUCGGGUCAGGAGCCUGGGUCGAGGCCGAGAAGAGGGUCGUGGGGCCAAAACAGCGACAUUUCGUCACCGCUGGUUCUGAAACCAGUGCCGUUGGAUUUCGACCAAUGCACACCGGCGAAGCAGAGGCCUGCUGCGGCCAGAUUCGCGGCGUCUCCGAUGUCGAGGGGGAAAUCAGGCGGAGGAGUGAGGAGCUCUUUCGGAGGAGGGAUUUUGGCGAAAAUGGCGGAUCUGAAAGGGGAGAGCCCAGCGGUGCUGAGGAAGAGCUGCGUGGUUCCUCCGGCUUCGAAGUUUCCAAGGAGCAGAAGUGUUUGUGAUAGAGAGGCGAAGAUCUCCUCCGUGUCUUCAUAUGUUCUUAGUCCCAUCAAAUCCUCUGAAAAGAAAAGCACAACAUCUCCACCCAGUUUGCGCAGUGGAAGAGCAGCAGCUUCUGUGGAAGCCCAUGGAGAUGGAGAGAGGUCCAUUUCAAGGAGACAGGAAUCUCAUCACCAUAAGCUGGAAAGACCCGAGAAGAACAGCAGCUUUCUCCCUUCAAAUCUCCCCGGAAGACUUAGCACACUGAGCAAGGAAGCCAUACAACAUCGAGAGACAGCUCAGAAGAUAGCCCUUCAGGCACUGAGAGAGCCUCCAGCCACUGAAACCAUUGUCCGACAUCUCAAGACAUUUGCCAAGCUAACCAAGUCAGCAAAAGCCGAAACCCCUGCUUCAUGCUUUGAGCAGUUCUUGGAGUUUCAUCACCAGAUAGCUCAAGCCGUGAGCGAAAUGGCGUCCACUGAAGCAGCCAUUUUAGCAACUGGCAACAAAUCACAAAACAAAAACCCUAAAUCUGAAAAUCAGAAGCAAAGGGAAGAAGAUGGGUCGUAUUCAAUCCUUCACGAAAUUGCUCACAACACGAUUGAUCAAGAGAAAACCUCUGAGUUAGGCUCAUCGAAGAGGCGGCUUGCUCUGAAGCAGAAGAGUUCAGGAAAAGUACUGAAAGCAGACGACGAGAACAAGAAUCCGACUUCUAGUGGGUUAAGUAACACGAUAAGAUUGGCAAAGGAGAUCGAGAGCGAAGCUGCAAACUGGUUCAUGGAGUUCCUCGAAAAGGCUCUGGAAAAGGGCAUGAAGAAAUCUAAAGGAGCUGCAGAUGCAGAUAUCAAGAAAGUUUCGCAGUCUCUGAUUCUGAAAGUUAUAAACUGGGUGGAGGCAGAACAGUCAGACAGCACGAGACGUCCGAUCCAUCCAAAAGCAUCGCAAAUAGCUAGAAAGCUUAGAAUCAAAAUGAAGAAUCCUUAAUUCUGAUUCUUUCUGUGUGUUCUUAGGUUCCACUAUUACAGAACUCACGCACGCCGUUGUACUCAUCAUGUAAAAGGGUUUGCAGAAUGUAAAUACAGUUACGUGAAUCAGAUGACCCAGAACCAAGAGAAGA